rnacentral:pre_miRNA from 2 species
ACUUGGGGUGGCGAGGAAACCGUUACCAUUACUGAGUUUAGUAAUGGUAACGGUUCUCUUGCUGCACCCAGA